rnacentral:ribozyme from 1 species
AUUGAAAUUCUCUCUCUCUCUUUCUUUUUUUCUUUUGUUUCGAGAGAAAGAAAGGGUUACUCUUUUUCUUCUUUUCCUCUCAAGAUGUUGAGAACUACUGCUCAACUCUUCACCC